GCAACAAACAAAGGCGAGAGAGACCUCGUUCUAUCCGAAAAACCUUAAUUUCUUAAGAAGAUAAUCUCCAAUUAAGUAAGUAGUAUUGGGAAAAUCUAUAAGGUUUUCGUAAAGUAUCUCAUUUAUUUGUGGAAUUAGGGUUUGAUUUCAGACUGGGUUUUCUUCCUUCCGUUUCUUAAAUCAAACAUGCCGAGCAUCAAAGAUGUUGGAACAGAAGUUAAUAGCGAAUCGAAGUUUUUGUUUGGUAUGAGCUGUCUCGGAAUUCUGCAUCCAAAUCCAAAUGUGUCCUAAUCUGGCUAGGCGGAAAAGCUGUUGGAUGAUUUCGUGCGCGUCCUGGUGAUGCCGCUGAGGGUUGUGUGGAUCCAGAAGAUUUACAAAAGAUUCGAAGAAGAGUACGAUCAGAUUGUAACAACAAUUCCCAAUUGAUGUAGUUUCUUAUUCAUGUGAUCAAUUCUUCGUUUUAGCUAUAUUGUUCCAAGUUAGCAGUGUGUGGUGCUUCAGAUGGAGCCAGAAAUGAAAUGAUUUCAUGGUGAUAAAGAGUAGCCAAGUAGAGAGGAAGGGCCCAUGUGAAAGAUCCAAUGCAAUUUGUGAAGGGCCUCUACGAAGGAGAGGAGCUUGAAGUUAUCCAUUUGACGGAGAUAGCGCAUCAAUCUGGUUCAUUGUAUUGCUAUCUAGCUACUACUCCAGCUGAGAAUGCUUAUAGAGCAGUGAAUUAGUCCUUCACGAGAUGCUUCUGACUUUCCCGUUAAGUUCAAUUCUAGCACUUCAAGUCUUCACGUAUGUUUUGGGGGACCCUCCGAAGAAUACGAGUGGCAAGGAGAAACCAAAUGACAUCUUAGUGCCAAGGGCGAGACAACCAGCAUCUUUCAGACAAGUCAACUUCUGUAGCUGCUGCAACAGGUACAGAACCAGUUGAUAACGAAAGUGGUAGGUCUUCAAACAUUUUUCUCUGUUGCCCACAGAACUAAAUCCUAACAAUAUUACUAUGGGAUAGUUAUAUAUUUCUCAUAACUGAACAAUUUAGUGGUUCUACUAAGUUCAACCUCUUGGGAGUCAAUUACCCAAUAAUUUCAUCUUAGUGGCAGUUUUUAUGAAUGCAAUUGAUACGAGUAAUAUUAUAGUUGAAAAUAUCUGGUAUACUGCAUUACUA